AGGAUAAACGCUGGCGGCGUGCCUAACACAUGCAAGUCGAACGUCUCUUCUUUCGGGAAGAGGAGUGGCGGACGGGUGAGGAACACGUGGGAACCUGCCCUUCAGUGAGGGAUACCGGCGAGAAAUUGCCGACAAGACCGCAUACGCUUCUCUUUUCAAGGGGAGAAGGAAAGCUUUUCGCAAGAGAGGCGCUGGGAGAUGGGCCUGCGGCCGAUUAGCUAGCUGGUGGGGUAAUGGCCUACCAGGGCGACGAUCGGUAGCUGGUCUGAGAGGACGAUCAGCCACACUGGGAUUGAGAACGGCCCAGACUCCUACGGGGGGCAGCAGUGAGGAAUUUUCGGCAAUGGGGGCAACCCUGACCGAGCAACGCCGCGUGCAGGACGACGGCCUUCGGGUGUAAACUGCUUUUCUCUGGGACGAGCAAGGACGGUACCAGAGGAAGAAGCCCGGCUAACUACGUGCCAGCAGCCGC
rnacentral:rRNA from 1 species